rnacentral:rRNA from 1 species
UGGGGAAUAUUGGACAAUGGGCGAAAGCCUGAUCCAGCCAUGCCGCGUGUGUGAAGAAGGUCUUCGGAUUGUAAAGCACUUUAAGUUGGGAGGAAGGGCAGUAAGUUAAUACCUUGCUGUUUUGACGUUACCAACAGAAUAAGCACCGGCUAACUUCGUGCCAGCAGCCGCGGUAAUACGAAGGGUGCAAGCGUUAAUCGGAAUUACUGGGCGUAAAGCGCGCGUAGGUGGUUUGGUAAGAUGGAUGUGAAAUCCCCGGGCUCAACCUGGGAACUGCAUCCAUAACUGCCUGACUAGAGUACGGUAGAGGGUGGUGGAAUUUCCUGUGUAGCGGUGAAAUGCGUAGAUAUAGGAAGGAACACCAGUGGCGAAGGCGACCACCUGGACUGAUACUGACACUGAGAUGCGAAAGCGUGGGGAGCAAACA